rnacentral:misc_RNA from 1 species
AACGCAAAUUGCGCUUCCUGGCAUUCCGGGGAGCAUGCCUGUUUGAGGGUCGGUAUAAAUAACGAUCGAUGUGUUGCUUUUUUUUUUUUUGGUGACAUUUCGGAGCUGGGUCAUCUUAAUUUUUUUUUAAUUAAGAGACCUGAAAUUGACGUUUUUCUUGCGCAUCUUGGACGUAUAAUUUGUGUCCUUGGGUGUCAGGAUAUAUAUAUAUUAGGUGUGUUCAUGUCAUUGAUCUCAUGCCUAUAUUUUUCAUUUUUCGACCUCAAAUCAGGUAAGAGUACCCGCUGAACUUAA